rnacentral:misc_RNA from 1 species
UGCGUGCGGCCGAAGUCCUACUGUGUAAAUUUACUUAUAUAAUAGAUAAAAAUAAAAAAAAAGUAAUAAAUAAAAUAAAACACAAACUUAUAACACACAAAUAAAAAAUAUAAUUUGUGUGUGUAAAAUAAAAUCAACGUUAUCGUGAAGCUGUGUCUUCAUUCUGGUGUUUGAUCGACUUUUUAUCACGAAUUAUCAAGUUUUUCUAGGUAAUGGAACAUGCAGUGUAAAACCGAUAGUUGAGUUUCGUUCUUCAAGUGCAAAGUGUUAUGAUUUCAAGAAUUUCAGAAGUGUUCUCAUGUGAUCAUCUUUACGAGAAUAAAUUAAAAGUAAAGAUUUACCAGACGUCCUGAUUUGAAAAGGAUUGUCCAAGUCUCAAGGCAAGCAUUAUCAUCCAUAAAUAUUGCAUUGGUACCCAAUACAGCAAUAAAAGGACAUACAAGAGGAUGUAGAAUUUUGUUACAAUAUCAGAUGGCUGGGACAGAAACACCAGGAAUGACACAGAGGUCCGUCUGGCCCUUCGUUGCUAUCCCAGCCUGUAGAAGUUAGCCUCCUCUUCUAUAAUGGUACCUUUCAAUGAUGUUCGGCAUCCAAUAGCAUGUCCUUGUCACUGCCCAUCAGGUAUCAUUCUGGGUGUUAAAUCAAGACUAAUCCAUAAAGAGUAUGUGGCCCCACUGUUCUGGUGCUCAACUGCGAUUUUCACGGGCCCAAUUUAACUGCAUCCGUCAGGCAUACAGUCUACCUUCAUGGAGUUAAUGCAACAGAGUUUCAGGAUAUGGGCCAUACUGCAGCAGCAAAAAGAUGGGACACCAACUGUUAUGUGUUAGUGAUCUUGCACAUAGCAACAGAAAGCAAUCGUCUGCCAAUGUGGUAAUCCUCCAAUGUCCAGAUGCACUUCUUCUAGAGGGGUUUUUGAUCCUAUUGAUAAUGAUUCCAUAGCCUAUUGAUGAUACUACAAUACACAUUCAGCACUCUUGCAACAGCGGACUGUCAUGCACCAGCUUGCAAAAUCCCGACAGCCUUCCAACGCAUUUCAUCAUGCAAGUGGUAUCUAUGGCUCACACUUUCCACUUUGGUUAUCUUGGAUUACACGGAAAUAUCACUGCUUACAAACUGAUGCAGAGUUCCAUUACACUCUUUUUUAAGGCAUUGUGAUGUGACCAUGGGAUUAUAUUUUAUACUAAUUUUGGUUGCCCAUUUGUAUUUUGUAAUUCAACCUUUACCUAAUGUGUAAAUUGUAUGUUUUAAUCCCUUUUUCACAUUUGUACUUUUUCUUGUAGCAUUUGUUGCUUAU